rnacentral:rRNA from 1 species
AUUGAACGCUGGCGGCAGGCCUAACACAUGCAAGUCGAGCGAGCGGCGGACGGGUGAGUAAUGUCUGGGAAACUGCCUGAUGGAGGGGGAUAACUACUGGAAACGGUAGCUAAUACCGCAUACCAUCAGAUGUGCCCAGAUGGGAUUAGCUAGUAGGUGGGGUAACGGCUCACCUAGGCGACGAUCCCUAGCUGGGCUGAGAGGAGGACCAGCCACACUGGAACUGAGACACGGUCCAGACUCGUACGGUGGGCAGCAGUGGGGAAUAUUGCAAAAUGGGUGAAAGCCUACUGCAGCCAUGCCGGGUGUGGGAAGAAGGCCUUCGGGUUGUAAAGCACUUUCAGCGGGGAGGCGUUACCCGCAGAAGAAGCACGGUCUAACUCCGUGCCAGCCGCCGCGGUAAUA